rnacentral:rRNA from 1 species
AGUGAACGCUGGCGGUAGGCCUAACACAUGCAAGUCGAACGGCAACACAGUAAGAGUUUGCUCUUAACGGUGGCGAGUGGCGGGCGGGUGAGGAAUACAUCGGCAUCUACUUUUUCGUGGGGGACAACGUAGGGACACUUACGCUACUACCGCAUACGACCUACGGCUGAAUGCAGUAGAUCUUCGCACCUUUCCCGUUUCAUUGAGCCGAUGUCGGAUUAGCUAGUUGGCUGGGUAAAGGCCCACCAAGGCAACGAUCCGUAGCUGGUCUGAGAGGAUGAUCGGCCACACUGGAACUGAGACACGGUCCAGACUCCUACGGGAGGCAGCAGUGGGGAAUAUUGGGCAAUGGGCGCAAGCCUGAUCCAGCAAUACCGCGUGAGUGAAGAAGGCCUUCGGGUUGUAAAGCCCUUUUGUUGGGAAAGAAAAGAAGUAGGUUAAUACACCGCUGUUCUGACGGUACCCAAAGAAUAAGCACCGGCUAACUUCGUG